rnacentral:rRNA from 1 species
GCGGCGGACGGGUGAGUAACGCGUGGGUAACCUACCCCAAAGUCCGGGAUAACAGCGGGAAACCGCUGCUAAUACCGGAUGCCUUUACCUUGGGGCAUCUUGAGGUAAAGAAAGGCAACGCUUUGGGAUGGGCCCGCGUCCCAUUAGCUAUUUGGUGAGGUAACGGCUCACCAAGGCGACGAUGGGUAGCCGGCCUGAGAGGGUGGACGGCCACACUGGGACUGAGACACGGCCCAGACUCCUACGGGAGGCAGCAUUAGGGAAUAUUGCACAAUGGACGGAAGUCUGACGCAGCGACGCCGCGUGAGCGAUGAAGGUCUUCGGAUCGUAAAGCUCUGUCCUUGGGGAAGAAGGCGAAAGCUUGACGGUACCCAAGAAGAAAGCCCCGGCUAACUACGUGCCAGCAGCCGCGGUAAUACGUAGGGGGCGAGCGUUGUCCGGAAUUACUGGGCGUAAAGGGUGCGUAGGCGGCCCUUUAAGUCGGAUGUGAAAGCCCGCG